rnacentral:rRNA from 1 species
UACGGGGGGGGCAAGCGUUGUUCGGAAUUACUGGGCGUAAAGGGCUCGUAGGCGGCCAACUAAGUCAGACGUGAAAUCCCUCGGCUUAACCGGGGAACUGCGUCUGAUACUGGAUGGCUUGAGUUCGGGAGAGGGAUGCGGAAUUCCAGGUGUAGCGGUGAAAUGCGUAGAUAUUGGGAGGAACACCAGUGGCGAAAGCGCGUGACUGGGCCACAACUGACGCUGAGGAACGAAAGCCAGGGGAGCGAAAGGG